rnacentral:rRNA from 1 species
AUGGACAGUCAAUCCAUGACUAUGAACAUAGCGUGUGAGAAGAUCAUGGCGGAGCGACACCGUUGCUUGAAGAAGGAAUGUGAAGCAUGGUUGAAGAGUUGUGAUGAGGCAAAUGCGGCCAUGAAGGAUUUCAGCAAGUAUCACUUUAUCGAGGAACUUUCUGAUGCUAAGGAGAAAAAAGCUUUCCGAAAGCUUGUGAAGGAGAAAGAGAGGUUGCUUGAUGAGCUGCAAGACCGGGAAUAUGCUUGCAGACACGCUUUGGCAGUUGAGAUUGCGUUCACUGCAAGCAAAGAAGAAUUCCGUGAGAUGGACUUGAGGAAAUCCGGGCAGGUCAUAGGAUGGGCAAUCAAACAGGGCGUGUCAGAGAAUCCCGCUCGCCGUGCUGCAUGGGCUUGGUUCCUUGAAACGAAUGGUGUGUUGGGUCAUUGGGCAGGAUCCACAGACUUUCAACUGAAGCGUAAUCAAGCGCGUGACGAUCAAAUUGAACGUCUGAUAAGUAUGAGAAAUAUGUUACCUGUUUAG